GCCCCCCCCAAAAUGACGUACUUCCGUGUGUGUAUGUGUGUCUCAGUUUUUCAGGGGCUUGUUCAUGUGUCAGGUAGAGUAGUUGUAGUAGUAGUGGUGAUGCUUUUGAUUAUUAUUCAUUUUAACUGGAGUAUGAUCAAAACCUCUUUGUGACAUUUUAAACGCCAGCAUAUUGAAGGACUUGUUGAGAUUGUUACUACCAAUGAAACCUUCUCGUUAAAACUUGCUUAUCCAGUUCUCUGACUAAGAAGAGAGAACGAACACAAAGGUAGACUGGUCACAUGACGCUGCAGCUUGCAAGGGUGGAGGUGAAGGUGGAACUUGGGGGAGAAAAACAAGUCAGUUUUAUAUUAAAAAUAAUAAAACAAACUCCACCUCAGAAGGAAAGAGUCUAUGUGAAAGGCCAUUAUGUCAGCUGAGAAUGAAGAGCUGGGCCAUUAAGUUAAAGGUCAAGACUUCGGUGAUCUACUGGUCUACUCGGGCUUGGUGUUGGUCCUGAUGUCCAUGGUUGGCUGGGUUAUGUGGUACAGUGGCAACAUUGAAGGCUUGAGCUUAGCAAAGGAUCUUGGAUAUAAACGCA